rnacentral:rRNA from 1 species
GACGAACGCUGGCGGCGUGCUUAACACAUGCAAGUCGAGCGGAGCGGCGAACGGGUGAGUAACGCGUGAGUAACUGCCCCCCUCUCUGGGAUAACAGUUGGAAACGGCUUCUAAUACCGGAUAGUGGGGGAUGACUCGCGUCCUAUCAGCUUGGUGGUGGGGUAGUGGCCUACCAAGGCGACGACGGGCAGCCGGCCUGGGAGGGCGACCGGCCACAUUGGGCAGAGAGACGGACCAAACGCGUACGGGAGGCAGCAGUGGGGAAUAUUGCACAAGGGGGGAAUGCAUGAUGCAGCAACGCCGCGUGCGGGAGGACGGCCUUCGGGGUGUAAACGGCUUUCAGCCAUGACGCGGUAGUGGCAGAAGAAGCACCGGCGAACUACGUGCCAGCAGCCGCGGUAAUAC